rnacentral:rRNA from 1 species
UACGGAGGAGGCAAGCGUUAUCCGGAAUUAUUGGGCGUAAAGCGUCCGCAGGUGGCACCUCAAGUCUGCUGUCAAAGACCGGGGCUUAACCCCAGAAAGGCAGUGGAAACUGAAGUGCUAGAGUGCAGUAGGGGUAGAGGGAAUUCCCGGUGUAGCGGUGAAAUGCGUAGAGAUCGGGAAGAACAUCGGUGGCGAAAGCGCUCUGCUGGACUGCAACUGACACUCAGGGACGAAAGCUAGGGGAGCAAACGGG